rnacentral:rRNA from 1 species
GAUGAACGCUGGCGGCGUGCCUAAUACAUGCAAGUCGAGCGAACGGACGAGAAGCUUGCUUCUCUGAUGUUAGCGGCGGACGGGUGAGUAACACGUGGUUAACCUACCUAUAAGACUGGGAUAACUUCGGGAAACCGGAGCUAAUACCGGAUGAUAUUUUGAAGAGCAGGGUUGAAAAGUGAAAGACGGUCUUGCUGUCACUUAUAGAUGGAUCCGCGCUGCAUUAGCUAGUUGGUAAGGUAACGGCUUACCAAGGAAACGAUGCAUAGCCGACCUGAGAGGGUGAUCGGCCACACUGGAACUGAGACACGGUCCAGACUCCUACGGGAGGCAGCAGUAGGGAAUCUUCCGCAAUGGGCGAAAGCCUGACGGAGCAACGCCGCGUGAGUGAUGAAGGUCUUCGGAUCGUAAAACUCUGUUAUUAGGGAAGAACAUAUGUGUAAGUAACUGUGCACAUCUUGACGGUACCUAAUCAGAAAGCCACGGCUAACUACGUG